UACAGAGGUCCCAAGCGUUGUUCGGAUUCAUUGGGCGUAAAGCGCACGUAGGCGGUCUUGUAAGUCGGGUGUGAAAGCCCGGGGCUUAACCCCGGAAGUGCACUCGAAACUGUAAGGCUUGAGUAUGGAAGAGGGUCUCGGAAUUCCCGGUGUAGAGGUGAAAUUCGUAGAUAUCGGGAGGAACACCAGUGGCGAAGGCGGAGACCUGGGCCAAUACUGACGCUGAGGUGCGAAAGCGUGGGGAGCAAACAGG
rnacentral:rRNA from 1 species